GUGAUUUGGGGAAGAUUUCAGCUAGCAAUUUCUUGUAACGCUUAACGGGUUGUCGAGAUCGAGACCUCAUAGCAGGACAGCAAAUGCACAUGUUCCCACAUGCUGGGAAUAACUUCCGUGAAAUAAAUCCCAUUUUCCUUCAAUUUUCAGAAUAAACAAGUAAAAUUUCUCAGUGAUAAUAGGUAGAACAAAAGAACCCAACCAAGAAUAGCAUACAUACACAACCUUACUGACAAGAUAGAGAAGCAUUAAUCAACCUUACAAAAACAAGAAUUGAACAUUUAAAAGAAAAAAACCCAAGAAUCCCAAGAAAAAAAACACCAAGAAUUCCAAGAUAAAUAACACCAAGAACAGGAAGAAUAGCCACAUACACAACACAACCAACUCAAAACUCAAGCCAAAAUCAAAAUGCAGUAAAGAGAAAGAUCGAUCAACCAACAAGAAACGGUAACAAAAGUAAAAAAACUUCUGAUAAACAGAGGCCAAAAGCGUGAAAACCAAGAUCAUUAAUGACAAGACAGAGAAGCAUUAAUCAUCCUUACAAAAACAAGAAUUGAACAUUUAAAAAAUAAUAAUAACCCAAGAAUCCCAAGAAAAAUAACACCAAGAAUCAAGAAGAAGCAAUAACCCAAGAAAAAAAACACCAAGAAUCAAAAAGAAGCAAUAACCCAAGAAUCCCAAGAAAAAUAACACCAAAACUCAAAAACAAGCAAUAACCCAAGAAUAGGAAGAAUUACAAGGACAAUAUACACAACAAAAACUAGUAAAAAAAGUAAAAUUAACAUACCUUCAACUACAGAAGGAGAUCUUGGAAGUGAAAAGGGGUUUCAAGAACUCCAACAAAGGUUUCAACUUUGGUAGAAAGAACAAAUGGGAAGUGAAGAAACAAUGAAAAAAAAACAAUUUCAAGAAACCAGACAACAACGAAGUAAGCGCGUGGAUUUUAAGGAAGAAAUCUUAAAAGGAGGAAAGAACAACAUGGGGUUUUUCAAGAAUCAAAGACUGGUUAGUAGAGUAGUAGAGUGGAAGAGAAAGAGAGAGAUCACGUGAUUGUCAGGUCACUUAUUUGUGUUAAAAGAGACUUUUUUUUUUCUC
rnacentral:lncRNA from 1 species